UCAGACGAUGCGUCAUGCAUAUCAAUAAGCGGAGGAAAAGAAACUAACAAGGAUUCCCCUAGUAACGGCGGAGUGAAGCGGGAAGAGCUCAAAUUUGAAAUCUUAAAGGGUCUCCCUUUACGAAUUGUAGUUUAAAGAAGUGUUUUCUGUUGAGGUUUUGGUAAAAGUUCUUUGGAAUAGGACAUCAUAGAGGGUGAGAAUCCCGUAUUUGACCUUUACUUUCAACUUUGUGAUACACUUUCAAAGAGUCGGAUUGUUUGGGAAUGCAGUCCAAAAUGGGUGGUAAAUUUCAUCUAAAGCUAAAUAUUGGCGAGAGACCGAUAGCGAACAAGUACCGUGAGGGAAAGAUGAAAAGAACUUUGAAAAGAGAGUUAAACAGUACGUGAAAUUGUCAAAAGGGAAGCGUUUGACACCAGUGUUGUUUUUCUGAAAAUCAAUUAAAGAACUGUUUAUGCUAAGUUGUUUAGACUUUAUCAGCUAACUGUUUAGUUUUGAGCUUUUCUUUAAUGCACUUUUCAGUUAACAAGUCAACAUCAAUUUCUUUUGCUGUAAAAAAGCUUGAGGAAGGUGGCUUGAGAUUCGUCUUAAGUGUUUAUAGCCUCUUGCCUAUGCAGUCGGAGAGAUUGAGGUCUGCAGCGUAGAUCCUUCGGGGCUAAAUGCAUUUGUGCUAAGUUAUAGCAUUUUAUAGACAACUUGUUGACUAUGAUUUGUCUUGUAGCUUACUCGCUUAUGUUAUUUUACCUACGCUUAGGAUGUUGAGCGCAUGUCUCUCUCU
rnacentral:rRNA from 1 species